GCUCGGUUCGGCCGCCCCAGCCCCGGUAGCGGCCGGGGGCGGCGGGGGGACGCCGUACCUGCGAGCGCUCAGCCGCCUCAGGAGCGCGCCCGGCCGCGGGAGGAGCCGCCCCGCUCCCGCCCCGCCGGAGGAGUGGCGUUUGCUGCGCCCUUCGGGAGCGGCAGCAGCCCCGUUUGCCGGACACGAACCGCCCCUCCCUCCACGGACACACACUUGUGGUUUGCCUAUAGGGGAGGGGAAUGAUGUUAUGGAAAAAUCUCUUUGAGAAACCAAAGAAAACAUAAAUGCAAGGACAUUGCUUGGACUUACGUGUCAUCUUCAUCAGAUCUAGGUUCAAGUCUCUCAGAAUCUAUGACAACAGCUUCAUUCUCACCAUCUACUUCAUCAGAUUCUCCGCAUUCAUCAGAAAGUGGACCUCUUAAUAUGUUUUCAGAAACUUUGAAAAUAUAAAAAUUAAAACGCCAUCAAAAUAUUUUAAUUUUUAAAGUAAAACUAUUAAGAGUAUGAAUACAAAAUAGUCAAAUUCAUCCCCAGUUUGUAGCAGAUUCCAGGAUAAGUUGUUACCUGUUUUAGGUGGGAAGAUAAACUAGUAAGGCAACUGAUGUGCAGAGCAAGUAUUUGUGACUGUGGCUGUGCACAUCUGUAGACUGUCCUCAGCUGUGCCAUCUGACCAUCCUGCCCUCAAACCGGGGCACGACUGCCUUAGAGAGGGGGGAUUUAGCUGAUGGGGUUACAGUGCAUUUCCUGCAUCUCCCUAACACACACACCACACAGAUCAGUGGGAGGGAGCACAUAGCAGGCGUCUGUGUUUUGUCACGACCUCAUUCAGCUGUUGAGCUGCAAGUGAAAGUCCAUCAUGAAGAGCUGUAGUGGAGAUGUACAAUCACUCAUGAAUUCCAAACCUGGCUUUUUAAAGUCCACGUUUCAUUUGGUAAACUUAAAAAAACCCAAAAUCUAGCCUGUUGUGAUAUGAACUCAGGUGUGUGAUCUGUAUACAGAGGAGCUAUGUAUGAAAAAAAAGAAGAAAAAGCCUUUAUUAAUAAACCUGUUUGCAAAAAUGUUUGUCCAGAAAAUGGGGAUUUACCUGGUGUAUAAAUUGUGUAUGUUUUAAAUGCUAAGCUGACAUCUGCAUUGCUGAGCAUGUCCAUCAGGGUCUGAGGGGGUUCCUUGUUCCACUGCUUCCGUGGCCUAUUUUCACUGUA